GCGGAGGGAUCAUUACCGAGUUUUCAACUCCCAAACCCCUGUGAACAUACCUGAACGUUGCUUCGGCGGGACCGCCCCGGCGCCCUCAGCGGCCCGGAACCAGGCGCCCGCCGGAGGACCCAAACUCUUGCUUUAAACAGUGGCAUUCUCUGAGUCUCACAAACAAAAUAAAUCAAAACUUUCAACAACGGAUCUCUUGGCUCUGGCAUCGAUGAAGAACGCAGCGAAAUGCGAUAAGUAAUGUGAAUUGCAGAAUUCAGUGAAUCAUCGAAUCUUUGAACGCACAUUGCGCCCGCCAGUAUUCUGGCGGGCAUGCCUGUUCGAGCGUCAUUUCAACCCUCAAGCCCCCAGGGGCUUGGUGUUGGGGACCGGCCCGCCCUUCUGCGGCGGCCGCCGCCCCCGAAAUGCAGUGGCGACCUCGCCGCAGCCUCCCCUGCGUAGUAGCACAACCUCGCACCGGAGCGCGGAGACGGUCACGCCGUAAAACGCCCAACUUUCUUUAGAGUUGACCUCGGAUCAGGUAGGAAUACCCGCUG
rnacentral:rRNA from 1 species